rnacentral:rRNA from 1 species
AGCUCCAAUAGCGUAUAUUUAAGUUGUUGCAGUUAAAAAGCUCGUAGUCGAAAUUUUGAGAUUUAAUCUAGACUCGGUCUGCCGGGAUGGUGUGUACUAGUUUAGAUUGUCUCUUCCUUCUGGUUUGCCACUCUUUGCUCUUAACUGGGUGAGGAGUCCUUUGGCUCCAGAUCUUUUACUUUGAAAAAAUUAGAGUGUUUAAAGCAGGCAAUUUUACGCCUUGAAUAGUACAGCAUGGAAUAAUGAAAUAGGACCUUGUAUCCAAUUUUGUUGGUUUUUGAAUGCAAGGUAAUGAUGAAUGGAGACAGUUGGGGGUAUUCAUAUUUAAUUGUCAGAGGUGAAAUUCUUGGAUUUAUGAAAGAUGAACUUCUGCGAAAGCAUUUAUCAAGGAUGUUUUCA